UACGUAGGGUGCAAGCGUUGUCCGGAAUUAUUGGGCGUAAAGAGCUCGUAGGCGGUUUGUCGCGUCGAAUGUGAAAACCCGGGGCUCAACCCCGGGCCUGCAUUCGAUACGGGCAGACUAGAGUUCGGUAGGGGAGUCUGGAAUUCCUGGUGUAGCGGUGGAAUGCGCAGAUAUCAGGAGGAACACCCGUGGCGAAGGCGGCUCUCGCGGGACGG
rnacentral:rRNA from 1 species